rnacentral:lncRNA from 10 species
CAGGGAGCUGAGUAAUUUCUGAGGAGUUCAUCUGAGCUAGGAAAAGAAGUUACCUUUAUUUAUCUGACCACGAGCCAGCCCUGGCAACCUUCUUGGACAUGCCUCAGCUCCUGGUGGGCUGCCGUACUGCCCUGCUCCAUUUCCCUCCUGGGUACAGCCAGGAAAGAAGAAAGGCAAACUAUCUGAUGAUGGGAGGAAGCACACUAGAAUUGCCAAGUUGCACAAAUUUCAAUCAUGCCCAUUUACCUGGAGGACUUCAGACGAGUACAGAAUCUUUUCAAAAGAGGGGACCGUUGUUUUUUCUUUGUUCAAAAGGAGACCAUUAAUAAAUGAAGCUGCCAUCCUACAAUUUCCCUACUCUCCCAGUAUGUGAGUUAUAUGAUUUGCUGCAUCAGACAAAACUGUAAGUGACUUGUCUCAUUAUGUUCUGUCCUGAGAUGACAGUACAAGUAUCAUGGGAACAUGAAAAAAUGAGGCAAUACAUUUGUGCUUCUUUCUUUUACCAUUA